rnacentral:rRNA from 1 species
GUCCAUGCCUUAAACGAUGAGGACUAGGUGUCGGGUCGCAAGACUCGGUGCCGCAGCUAACGCAUUAAGUCCUCCACCUGGGGAAUACGGCCGCAAGGUUGAAACUCAAAGGAAUUGACGGGGGCCCGCACAAGCAGUGGAGCAUGUGGUUUUAAUUCGACGCAACGCGAAGAACCUUACCUGGGCUCGAAAUGCUAGUGACACCCCAUGAAAGUGGGCUUCUCGCAAGAGACGCUAGUAUAGGUGCUGCAUGGCUGUCGU